rnacentral:rRNA from 1 species
GAUGAACGCUGGCGGCGUGCUUAACACAUGCAAGUCGAACGGAAAGGCCACAGCUUGCUGUGGUACCCGAGUGGCGAACGGGUGAGUAACACGUGGGUGAUCUGCCCUGUACUUCGGGAUAAGCUUGGGAAACUGGGUCUAAUACCGGAUAGGAAUCACAUGUGGGUGUGUGGUUGGAAAGCUUUUGCGGUAUGGGAUGAGCUCGCGGCCUAUCAGCUUGUUGGUGGGGUAAUGGCCUACCAAGGCGUCGACGGGUAGCCGGCCUGAGAGGGUGUACGGCCACAUUGGGACUGAGAUACGGCCCAGACUCCUACGGGAGGCAGCAGUGGGGAAUAUUGCACAAUGGGCGCAAGCCUGAUGCAGCGACGCCGCGUGGGGGAUGACGGCCUUCGGGUUGUAAACUCCUUUCGUCAGGGACGAAGCGAAAGUGACGGUACCUGGAUAAGAAGCACCGGCUAACUACGUG